AGCCAGCGCCUUUCGGGAGCCCUUUCUUUGCAUGGGGAAGAAUGAAUUCACUCUAAAUGCCGAUGGAGGAGCCCAGCACCGAUCCCAAGGGAGCCUGGCACAGCAGGGAUAAAUCCCAUCUCCAUCCUGCAGCGUUUUAUCCCUCAAAUUUAGAAGCGUGCCCCAAAUUUUGAUUAUGUUCCCUACUAAUUUUUUUCCCUGCUUGAAAUCUGAGAUGCAGUUUUUUGGGUGGGAGGAAACCGAAGCUGCCUUGCAGGGGCUUGGGAGAUGAAAUGACUCCUGUUCCCGCUUGCUGCCUUCCACCCCCGAUCAUCUCCAGCCCCCCUGGAGCAUCGCCCCGUGCCGGCACCCGUGGCAGAGGACAGCGGAAACCGCUGAUUCAUCCCCGGGCGAGCCUGCCCCAAGCGCUGGUGUGUGGAUGUGCCCCAGCGAGGAGCGCUGGCAGGGGGAACCCCGUCCCCACGGAGCAUCACUCGGCAGCGGUGAGCGGGAUCUUGGCUGGGUCGGGGGAUGCUCCGGCAGCAUGAAAUCCCCUUCAGGAAAGAGCCUGGCUUCAGAAAAAUACUACUUUAAUCACCCCAAAAGCCAAGUGCUGAGCUGAGAUGCCCCAAGCCACUGCUCUUUGCGCUUUUGUGUUUAAUGUUUGGACAUUAUUUCUUUCCGCAGCCCCUGAGGGGAGGGCACGGUGCCGGGUGGAAACUGCAGCUGCUCCAGGCCCUUUGCUCUGUGCCCAAGCAGCACUGGAGUGGGGAGAACACCCAUGCCAGAGCCCCAGCGAGGGCCAUGCUGUUCCAUAAGGAGCAUUGUUAAUUUGAAGGAUAACUAGCUUAUUACAUAGAGGCUUGGGGUGGGGGCUGAAAUUGC